rnacentral:rRNA from 1 species
GGAGGGUGCAAGCAUUUAUCGGAUUUACUGGGCGUAAAGAGCGCGUAGGUGGGAAUGGAAGUCGGACGUGAAAUCCCGGAGCUCAACUCCGGAACUGGCAUUCGAAACUCCAGUUUCUUGAGGAUAGGCGGAGAAGACGGAAUUCCAUGUGUAGCGGUGAAAUGCGUAGAUAUAUGGAAGAACACCGGUGGCGAAGGCGGUCUUCUAGCUUAUUCCUGACGCUGAGGCGCGAAAGCAAGGGGAGCGAACAGGGAUUAGAUACCCUGGUAGUCCUUGCCGUAAACGAUGCAUACUUGGUGUAGUCGGACUCAACCCUGACUUUGCCGGAGCUAACGCGUUAAGUAUGCCGCCUGGGGAUACGCUCGCAAGGGUG